rnacentral:tRNA from 1 species
GCCUGCGGGGCUCAGUCAGUUGAGCAUCUGACUUCAGCUCAGGCCGUGAUCUCACAGUUAGUGGGUUCGAGCCCCGCCUUGGGCU